GUGUGGUGAUUUACAAUUAGUGGAGUGGGAACAGGUGUGGUGAUUUACAAUUAGUGGAGUGGGAACAGGUGUGGUGAUAUACAAUUAGUGGAGUGGGAACAGGUGUGGUGAUUUACAAUUAGUGGAGUGGGAACAGGUGUGGUGAUUUACAAUUAGGGAGUGGGAACAGGUGUGGUGAUUUACAAUUAGUGGAGUGGGAACAGGUGUGGUGAUUGACAAUUAGUGGAGUGGGAACAGGUGUGGUGAUUUACAAUUAGUGGAGUGGGAACAGGUGUGGUGAUAUACAAUUAGUGGAGUGGGAACAGGUGUGGUGAUUGACAAUUAGUGGAGUGGGAACAUGUGUGGUGAUUUACAAUUAGUGGAGUGGGAACAGGUGUGGUGAUUUACAAUUAGUGGAGUGGGAACAGGUGUGGUGAUAUACAAUUAGUGGAGUGGGAACAGGUAUGGUGAUUUACAAUUAGUGGAGUGGGAACAGGUGUGGUGAUUUACAAUUAGGGAAUGUGGGAACAGGUGUGGUAAUUGACAAUUAUUGGAGUGGGAACAGGUGUGGUGAUUGACAAUUAGUGGAGUGGGAACAGGUGUGGUGAAAUACAAUUAGUGGAGUGGGAAAAGGUAUGGUGAUAUACAAUUAGUGGAGUGGGAACAGGUGUGGUGAUUGACAAUUAGUGGAGUGGGAACAUGUGUGGUGAUUUACAAUUAGUGGAGUGGGAACAGGUAUGGUGAUUUACAAUUAGUGGAGUGGGAACAGGUGUGGUGAUUUACAAUUAGUGGAGUGGGAACAGGUGUGGUGAUUGACAAUUAGUGGAGUGGGAACAGGUGUGGUGAUAUACAAUUAGUGGAGUGGGAACAGGUGUGGUGAUUUACAAUUAGUGGAGUGGGAACAGGUGUGGUGAUUGACAAUUAGUGGAGUGGGAACAGGUGUGGUGAUUUACAAUUAGUGGAGUGGGAACAUGUGUGGUGAUUUACAAUUAGUGGAGUGGGAACAGGUGUGGUGAUUUACAAUUAGUGGAGUGGGAACAGGUGUGGUGAUAUACAAUUAGUGGAGUGGGAACAGGUAUGGUGAUUUACAAUUAGUGGAGUGGGAACAGGUGUGGUGAUUUACAAUUAGGGAAUGUGGGAACAGGUGUGGUAAUUGACAAUUAUUGGAGUGGGAACAGGUGUGGUGAUUGACAAUUAGUGGAGUGGGAACAUGUGUGGUGAUUUACAAUUAGUGGAGUGGGAACAGGUGUGGUGAUUUACAAUUAGUGGAGUGGGAACAGGUGUGGUGAUUUACAAUUAGUGGAGUGGGAACAUGUGUGGUGAUUUACAAUUAGUGGAGUGGGAACAGGUGUGGUGAUAUACAAUUAGUUGAGUGGGAACAGGUGUGGUGAUUGACAAUUAGUGGAGUGGGAACAGGUGUGGUGAUUUACAAUUAGUGGAGUGGGAACAGGUGUGGUGAUUGACAAUUAGUGGAGUGGGAACAGGUGUG
rnacentral:lncRNA from 1 species